rnacentral:tRNA from 7 species
GGGCGAUUAGCUCAGCGGGAGAGCACUGCCUUCACACGGCAGGGGUCGCAGGUUCGAACCCUGCAUCGCCCACCA